rfam:Cavia porcellus supercont2_157 genomic scaffold, whole genome shotgun sequence.
GGGGAUUUAGCUCAGCGGCAUAAGCGCCUGCCUUGCAAGCAGGCAGUUGUGAGUUCAAUCCCUG